AACGAACGCUGGCGGCAUGCCUAACACAUGCAAGUCGAACGAGACCUUCGGGUCCAGUGGCGCACGGGUGCGUAACGCGUGGGAACCUGCCCUUAGGUUCGGAAUAACUCCCCGAAAGGGGUGCUAAUACCGGAUAAUGUCUUCGGACCAAAGAUUUAUUGCCUUUGGAUGGGCCGGCGUUGGAUUAGCUAGUUGGUAGGGUAAAAGACUACCAAGGCGACGAUCCAUAGCUGGUCUGUGAGGAUGAUCAGCCACACUGGGACUGAGACACGGCCCAGACUCCUACGGGAGGCAGCAGUGGGGAAUAUUGGACAGUGGGCGAAAGCCUGAUCCAGCAAUGCCGCGUGAGUGAUGAAAGCCUUAGGGUUGUAAAGCUCUUUUACCCGGGAUGAUAAUGACAGUACCGGGAGAAUAAGCUCCGGCUAACUCCGUG
rnacentral:rRNA from 1 species